CUAUAGCGAACUGAGGAGGACAUUACUGUGAUUUAGUACUACACUGCGUGAGCGGAACGAAAACAAAAACACCUAAAAUGUGGAAUAUAGCAUAUAGUCGACAAGAGAAAUCUACGAAAAACAAACAAAACUUUCAACAACGGAUCUCUUGGUUCUCGCAUCGAUGAAGAGCGCAGCGAAAUGCGAUACCUAGUGUGAAUUGCAGCCAUCGUGAAUCAUCGAGUUCUUGAACGCACAUUGCGCCCCUCGGCAUUCCGGGGGGCAUGCCUGUUUGAGCGUCGUUUCCAUCUUGCGCGUGCGCAGAGUUGGGGGAGCGGAGCGGACGACGUGUAAAGAGCGUCGGAGCUGCGACUCGCCUGAAAGGGAGCGAAGCUGGCCGAGCGAACUAGACUUUUUUUCAGGGACGCUUGGCGGCCGAGAGCGAGUGUUGCGAGACAACAAAAAGCUCGACCUCAAAUCAGGUAGGAAUACCCGCUGAACUUAAGCAUAUCAAAAGGC
rnacentral:rRNA from 1 species